GAUGAACGCUGGCGGCGUGCCUAAUACAUGCAAGUCGAGCGAACGGACGAGAAGCUUGCUUCUCUGAUGUUAGCGGCGGACGGGUGAUUAACACGUGGAUAACCUACCUAUAAGACUGGGAUAACUUCGGGAAACCGUAGCUAAUACCGGAUAAUAUUUUGAACCGCAUGGUUCAAAAGUGAAAGACGGUCUUGCUGACACUUAUAGAUGGAUCCGCGCUGCAUUAGCUAGUUGGUAAGGUAACGGCUUACCAAGGCAACGAUGCAUAGCCGACCUGAGAGGGUGAUCGGCCACACUGGAACUGAGACACGGUCCAGACUCCUACGGGGGGCAGCAGUAGGGAAUCUUCCGCGAUGGGCGAAAGCCUGACGGAGCAACGCCGCGUGAGUGAUGAAGGUCUUCGGAUCGUAAAACUCUGUUAUUAGGGAAGAACAUAUGUGUAAGUAACUGUGCACAUCUUGACGGUACCUAAUCAGAAAGCCACGGCUAACUACGUG
rnacentral:rRNA from 1 species